rnacentral:lncRNA from 1 species
UGCAAACGAACCGGUAAGAACCGGAACGACUCGACCAAAACCGGUGACUCGGCCGGUUCGAUGAACCAGACCGGUUCAACGCAUAGCUGCUCCAAUUUGAUAAAAAAAAAUCAGAAAAAACCAGGAAAGAAGAGAGAAUGGAACACGAUAGCAAGCCUCAUCUAGUUCAUGGAAAGAAAAUUUAGAAAUGAGGUAUAAUUGUAUACACCAGAUCUUAGUUACAAUGAAGAAAAGAAAUGAGAG